rnacentral:rRNA from 1 species
AGAGUUUGAUCAUGGCUCAGGACGAACGCUGGCGGCGUGCCUAAUACAUGCAAGUCGAACGAACUCUGGUAUUGAUUGGUGCUUGCAUCAUGAUUUACAUUUGAGUGAGUGGCGAACUGGUGAGUAACACGUGGGAAACCUGCCCAGAAGCGGGGGAUAACACCUGGAAACAGAUGCUAAUACCGCAUAACAACUUGGACCGCAUGAUCUGAGCUUGAAAGAUGGCUUCGGCUAUCACUUUUGGAUGGUCCCGCGGCGUAUUAGCUAGAUGGUGGGGUAACGGCUCACCAUGGCAAUGAUACGUAGCCGACCUGAGAGGGUAAUCGGCCACAUUGGGACUGAGACACGGCCCAAACUCCUACGGGAGGCAGCAGUAGGGAAUCUUCCACAAUGGACGAAAGUCUGAUGGAGCAACGCCGCGUGAGUGAAGAAGGGUUUCGGCUCGUAAAACUCUGUUGUUAAAGAAGAACAUAUCUGAGAGUAACUGUUCAGGUAUUGACGGUAUUUAACCAGAAAGCCACGGCUAACUACGUGCCAGCAGCCGCGGUAAUACGUAGGUGGCAAGCGUUGUCCGGAUUUAUUGGGCGUAAAGCAAGCGCAGGCGGUUUUUUAAGUCUGAUGUGAAAGCCUUCGG